AUCCUUGUGUCUCUUAAUAUUUAAGAGUACAGUGUUAAAUGACUGACAGCUAAAUCCAGUGAUGCAAAUGUUGUAUGCUGAAAAUAUAGAAUAAACCUAAUCCCUACCCCAAAACCUAACAGUACACUGUUAAAAAUUACCAGCAUUUCACAAUAAUUAACAGUAUUAUUUUACAGUAACUUGUUGUAAUUAAGUUUCCCUGUAAUAUCCCAAUGAAUACCUGUAAAAAACUAAAGUAUCCUUGGAUUUUACAGCAUUUAACUCUUAUUUUACAGUAAAAUCUUGCUAUCUAAAACCUACUGUUAUAUCACAACAAGGUCUGUAAUAUCACAGCAACACAGUGUAAAAAAUAAGUAUUUCACAGCAGUAAACAGUAUUAUUACAGUGAAAUAUUGUAUUGAAAUGUGCCCUGGGAAGUCACAUGACAUAACCGAUCUGUUUUGAAUUGAAAGCGCUGUCGUCGUGUCCCUCUUCUAUUCCGGGCUGAAUGGAGAAGCAGGUAUCCUAGUUACAACAUGACUGAGCUAAGUUAAUUGGAGAGCCAUCCAAAAUCAUUUGGCGACACUGGCAAGCAUGGUGAUACUGCUGGAGACGGAUGUCACUCUCUUCUGCAACAUGUAAAAAUGAGAGUGGAGUAAAAAAAUAGGAAUAAAGCCCUUGCUCAACGCUGCAGAGAAAGAAGACCGCGCACUGGAAUGGCAGGAGAGGCCAGACUGGCAAGAGGUCCUGUUGACCAAUACGGGUGUGUCAGGUGGGGCCCAGUAGAUUUGCCAGGGGGGAGACCGAGGCAACAUCGGAGAAUAUAAAGAGGGAUCUGCUGAACAUCUACUCAGGCAUGCCAUCUACUCUCUUUUUGGGUAAUUUUGUUUAGAAUUUAGUAAUUUGUCAAGAUCUGAACACUGUGUGUGUUGGGCGGCUACAAGACCAAAUUGUUACUUGGGUACUAACAAUACAUUUGUAUGUCUGUGUACACAGGGGAAGGAAUGAGUGGGGCAGAGAGAGCAGAACCAAUGAUGGAAAAGACAUGCAUCAUCCUGCGGAAAUACCUUAACAAAGUGCCUUCUGCAGCGAUGUCUGAGAUCAAACAGGAAUGGCCAUUUCUCUUCUCUCAGAAAUGCCUAUUCUCACACUUAGACCUCCUGAUGGACGUUGAUGUCCUUCAGAAGCUACAGGAGGCAAUUAUUCGAAGAGGACAGACCAUCCUGGAUUACUGUGCAACACUGGACAACCCAAAGAUCCGUGAUGUUCUGGCCUGCUAUGAUCCAGACUCUGACAAGGCUGCCUGCAUCCUGCUGCUCCUAAUGUUGUACUUCAGAGAGUUUGAUGCUUGAAGUUCAUCCAUGUGCCACUGCUGUGGACGUCAAUACUGCAGAACUCCCCGGAACCCCCUGCUUGAUCAUUCAAGGUGACAUGAUGAAGCCCACUGGAUGGCUUAUAUCCAUCAAGGGACAUGUCGUGAUGGGCCCACACUCUUUAUUUUUACACGGAGUAGCACUUUCUUCAGCAGCUAUUACGUAUUCAACCUUGAGUAUCCUACCGCUGGAUCUUCGACACUGGAGUUCAUUCAAAGGUGCUUCCUGGGCAUCAAUCCUGAAAGAGGCUCAAAGACCAAGAAGCGGACAACUAUGAACCCUCAUCUCGAGCUCGAGGCAGUGGGGAAGCAGAUCGCGACCUGGUGGUAAGGCAGGCCCAGCUGAGAGAGCGGAGAGCUGCACUGGAAUCAUCCCGGGCUGACGGCCACAAGUCCAGGGCCCGGUGCACCCAGGACGCGAUCUUCCCAGAUGUCCUUCACUGCGAUGCCGGGACACCACAGACCCUGGGUGCAGGCACGUGCACAGUUUCAGCACAUGCCCCUCAAAAGGUCUGUGCACGGCCC